rnacentral:rRNA from 1 species
GUCUACGGCAUGCUACCCUGAACAAGCCCGAUCCUGUCUGAUCUCAGAAGCUAAACAGGGUCCGGCUUGGUUAGUACUUGGAUGAGAGACCACCUAGGAAGACCAGGUGCUGUAGGUG